rnacentral:tRNA from 1 species
GGCGUCAAAUUGGGUACACUCAAAUUGGGUACAGCCAAGGCUCCAUAAGUCAUUGAAUCAAAAAGACUUGUGAUACACAAAAACUGCCGUUAUUGGACUUAAAAUCCUUUGUCGGGUAACCGGCGUGCGGGUUCGAGUCCCGCCUGGGCCA